rnacentral:rRNA from 1 species
UACGAAGGGGGCUAGCGUUGUUCGGAAUUACUGGGCGUAACGCGCGCGUAGGCGGUUUUGCAAGCCAGAGGUGAAAUGCCUGAGCUCAACUCAGGAAUGGCCUUUGGGACUGCGAGGCUUUGAGGACUGGAGAGGUGAGUGGAAUUCCCAGUGUAGAGGUGAAAUUCGUAGAUAUUGGGAAGAACACCGGUGGCGAAGGCGGCUCACUGGCCAGUUUCUGACGCUGUAGCGCGAAAGCGUGGGGAUCAAACAGG